rnacentral:rRNA from 1 species
ACGUGGGUAACCUGCCUGUAAGACUGGGAUAACUCCGGGAAACCGGGGCUAAUACCGGAUGGUUGUCUGAACCGCAUGGUUCAGACAUAAAAGGUGGCUUCGGCUACCACUUACAGAUGGACCCGCGGCGCAUUAGCUAGUUGGUGAGGUAACGGCUCACCAAGGCGACGAUGCGUAGCCGACCUGAGAGGGUGAUCGGCCACACUGGGACUGAGACACGGCCCAGACUCCUACGGGAGGCAGCAGUAGGGAAUCUUCCGCAAUGGACGAAAGUCUGACGGAGCAACGCCGCGUGAGUGAUGAAGGUUUUCGGAUCGUAAAGCUCUGUUGUUAGGGAAGAACAAGUGCCGUUCAAAUAGGGCGGCACCUUGACGGUACCUAACCAGAAAGCCACGGCUAACUACGUGCCAGCAGCCGCGGUAAUACGUAGGUGGCAAGCGUUGUCCGGAAUUAUUGGGCGUAAAGGGCUCGCAGGCGGUUUCUUAAGUCUGAUGUGAAAGCCCCCGGCUCAACCGGGGAGGGUCAUUGGAAACUGGGGAACUUGAGUGCAGAAGAGGAGAGUGGAAUUCCACGUGUAGCGGUGAAAUGCGUAGAGAUGUGGAGGAACACCAGUGGCGAAGGCGACUCUCUGGUCUGUAACUGACGCUGAGGAGCGAAAGCGUGGGGAGCGAACAGGAUUAGAUACCCUGGUAGUCCACGCCGUAAACGAUGAGUGCUAAGUGUUAGGGGGUUUCCGCCCCUUAGUGCUGCAGCUAACGCAUUAAGCACUCCGCCUGGGGAGUACGGUCGCAAGACUGAAACUCAAAGGAAUUGACGGGGGCCCGCACAAGCGGUGGAGCAUGUGGUUUAAUUCGAAGCAACGCGAAGAACCUUACCAGGUCUUGACAUCCUCUGACAAUCCUAGAGAUAGGACGUCCCCUUCGGGGGCAGAGUGACAGGUGGUGCAUGGUUGUCGUCAGCUCGUGUCGUGAGAUGUUGGGUUAAGUCCCGCAACGAGCGCAACCCUUGAUCUUAGUUGCCAGCAUUCAGUUGGGCACUCUAAGGUGACUGCCGGUGACAAACCGGAGGAAGGUGGGGAUGACGUCAAAUCAUCAUGCCCCUUAUGACCUGGGCUACACACGUGCUACAAUGGACAGAACAAAGGGCAGCGAAACCGCGAGGUUAAGCCAAUCCCACAAAUCUGUUCUCAGUUCGGAUCGCAGUCUGCAACUCGACUGCGUGAAGCUGGAAU